rnacentral:rRNA from 1 species
AUGCACGCUGGCGGCGUGCCUCAUACCUGCAAGUCGCGCGCACAGACGAGGAGCUUGCUCCUCUGACGUUAGCGGCGGACGGGUGAGUAACACGUGGAUAACCUACCUAUAAGACUGGGAUAACUUCGGGAAACCGGAGCUAAUACCGGAUAAUAUAUUGAACCGCAUGGUUCAAUAGUGAAAGACGGUUUUGCUGUCACUUAUAGAUGGAUCCGCGCCGCAUUAGCUAGUUGGUAAGGUAACGGCUUACCAAGGCAACGAUGCGUAGCCGACCUGAGAGGGUGAUCGGCCACACUGGAACUGAGACACGGUCCAGACUCCUACGGGAGGCAGCAGUAGGGAAUCUUCCGCAAUGGGCGAAAGCCUGACGGAGCAACGCCGCGUGAGUGAUGAAGGUCUUCGGAUCGUAAAACUCUGUUAUUAGGGAAGAACAAAUGUGUAAGUAACGAUGCACGUCUUGACGGUACCUAAUCAGAAAGCCACGGCUAACUACGU